GCAUCCUGUACGCAGCUUGCAGUUUUCCAGUUUUCUCUUUGUGGGCGUUAUUUCCAUAAGAGUGCAGACUUCUGGGAUGCAGGUCAGGGCUGUGACUUCCCUGGGUUUCUCUGGAGUGAGAUCAGUGUGGAGUGGAGAGGUGUGUGCUGGAGGAAGAGGCCUUGGCCUGUGCUCCGCAUUGCCUACUCCUCUCACCUGGAAACACCGGACUUCAGGAGUCACUCGGCUGUGGCAGAAAAUAAAGUUCUUGAAAGGAAAGCAGAGGCGCUCACUCACAUCGAUGCCCUAAACAUCAAUACCACAUCAAUGUCCCAAGUGGCGGGCUGGUCCGAGUCUCUGUUUUGGAAGCUCAACCAGUGGCUGAUGAUUCACAUGUUUCACUGCCGCAUGGUUCUAACCUACCACAUGUGGUGGGUGUGUUUCUGGCACUGGGACGGCCUGGUCAGCAGCCUGUAUCUGCCUCAUUUGACACUGUUCCUUGUCGGACUGGCUCUGCUUACGCUAAUCAUUAAUCCAUAUUGGACCCAUAAGAAGACUCAGCAGCUUCUCAAUCCGGUGGACUGGAACUUCGCACAGCCAGAAGCCAAGAGCAGGCCAGAAGGCAACGGGCAGCUGCUGCGGAAGAAGAGGCCAUAGCUGCUCCAGCCGGGGCUCCGGGGCGGCAGCAGAGCUGGCACACCGAUUCUGGGAAGCCCCGCGAAUGAUGGCUUUUGAAUUAAUGAGGCAGUGAAUGUUUUGUGUUUACUUCUAAGGGAAAUACUAACUUUCUUUCGCAUUAGUAUUAAUUUUGAAGUAGCUACAAAGUAUUUUUAAGAAAUUAUAAUUUUAUGACUGU
rnacentral:misc_RNA from 1 species